rnacentral:rRNA from 1 species
AUUGAACGCUGGCGGCAUGCCUUACACAUGCAAGUCGAACGGUAACAGGUCUUCGGAUGCUGACGAGUGGCGAACGGGUGAGUAAUACAUCGGAACGUGCCUAGUAGUGGGGGAUAACUACUCGAAAGAGUGGCUAAUACCGCAUGAGAUCUACGGAUGAAAGCAGGGGAUCGCAAGACCUUGUGCUACUAGAGCGGCCGAUGGCAGAUUAGGUAGUUGGUGGGAUAAAAGCUUACCAAGCCGACGAUCUGUAGCUGGUCUGAGAGGACGAUCAGCCACCAUGGGACUGAGACACGGCCCAGACUCCUACGGGAGGCAGCAGUGGGGAAUUUUGGACAAUGGGCGCAAGCCUGAUCCAGCAAUGCCGCGUGCAGGAUGAAGGCCUUCGGGUUGUAAACUGCUUUUGUACGGAACGAAAAGCCCUGGGUUAAUACCCUGGGGUCAUGACGGUACCGUAAGAAUAAGCAUCGGCUAACUACGUGCCAGCCGCCGCCGUAAUAC